ensembl:lncRNA
GGGUACAAUCAGAGGUACAGUACAGGGGUACAAUCAGAGGUACAGUACAGGGGUACAAUCAGAGGUACAGUACAUGGGUACAAUCAGAGUUCCAGUACAGGGGUACAAUCAGAGUUCCAGUACAGGGGUACAAUCAGAGUUCCAGUACAGGGGUACAAUCAGAGGUACAGUACAGGGGUACAAUCAGAGGCAGCCAACAAAUGAUUUUUUUGCCUCUGUCACUUUUUAUUUUCAACAAACAAUUAUUUUGGCAUUCCUUGUUGCUUGUAGUCUUACCUGGUACCCAGGCUACUGUGAUUACUCAUAGCAGG